ensembl:lncRNA
CAGCCGGCGUGGAAACCUGGAGGUUCCCUCCAGAUUGCACAACGCUUUCUUUCCAAUCUCCUUAUGUUUCAGGUCUUGGAUCUGUUUGUGGGCUCCUGCACACUGAUAUCCAUCUCACCCGCUUCUAAGUGUCCGUCACAGCCGGCGUGGAAACCUGGAGGUUCCCUCCAGAUUUCACAAUGCUUUCUUUCCACUCCACUUAUGUUUCAGGUCUUGGAUCUGUUCCUGGGCUCCUGCACACUGAUAUCCAUCUCACCCGCUUCUAAGUGUCCGUCACAGCCGGCGUGGAAACCUGGAGGUUCCCUCCAGAUUGCACAACGCUUUCUUUCCACUCUCCUUUUGUUUCAGGUCUUGGACCUCUUUGUGGGCUCCUGCACACUGAUAUCCAUCUCACCCGCUUCUAAGUGUCCGUCACAGCCGGCGUGGAAACCUGGAAGUUCCCUCCAGAUUUCAAAACGCUUUCUUUCCACUCUACUUAUGUUUCAGGUCUUGGAUCUGUUCCUGGGCUCCUGCACUCUGAUAUCCAUCUCACCCGCUUCUAAGUGUCCGUCACAGCCGGCGUGGAAACCUGGAAGUUCCC